rnacentral:tRNA from 1 species
GGAGAUUCAGGGGCGAGAAAUUCUGAACAAAAUCAGAAUAAACUGGAAAAAGGCCAAUUAAAAUUCUUAAUAAAAUAGUACCGGAAUACAACACUGCUUGGAAUUCAGGUCUUGAACCAUUAACACGAAAGCUCAGAGGCAGUCACCCUGGCUGCUCAGGGACAUCAGAGCCCUUCAAGACUCGGGUGCUGCCACGUCCGUGUGGCCCUCGCGGUUCCGGGGCAGCGCGUGGGUCCGACGCAGAACAGGAGUGAGUAAAAACUGCUGAGCGCCGCCCCAAAGACGAGGUUCCACCGAGACUCGAACUCGGAUUCACGCUGGAUUCAGAGUCCAGAGUGCUCGCCAUCACACCAUGGAACCACCGGGGACCCUUCAGCUGGGAUCACUGAAUUCAGAGGCCAGAGUGCUCACCAUAACGCAGACCCUCCCGCAGCCCGUCCCUGCCAGCAGUUGAGCCAGGCGCGCGCAGCCCCGCCGGCCCAGGACCCGCUUCCCGCCGGGCGCGCUCCUCAGCCGCGCGCAGCCCGCGUCCUCCGCGACGCCAGGGGGCGCCGGCCUUGCCUGCCCUCGGCCUCCCUGCAGGUUAGUACGUCCAGGAGGACAUGAAAUCCACUGGGGUCAGCGACAGGGCAGGGCUUUCAGGCCUCCCCCAAGUCCACCUGCUCUGCCAGCAUUUGUGGAGUGUUCUACGCUGAGGAGUUCUACUUCAGCGCAGGAAACUCUACAAAUGCUGGCAGAACAGAGGGUUUGGGGUGGGCCCUGCCCUGUCGCUGACCUCAACGGAUUUUAUCGUCCUCUGGUACAAACCUGCCCGGAGGCCGCGGGCAGGCGAGUCCGGAGCCUCCUGGCGUCGAGGCGGAAGCGGGCUGGGGGCUGCGGGGUGAGGAGCGCGCCCGGCGGGAGGCGGGGCCUGGGCCGGCGGGGCUGCGCGCGGCCUGGCUCAGCGGCUGCAAGGUAAAGGCCGGUGGGCGGUUCCAUGGUGUAAUGGUGAGCACUCUGGACUCUGAAUCCAGCGAUCCGAGUUC